AACGCGAAGAACCUUACCUACCCUUGACAUGAUAAAGGACCUAGUAGAGAUACUGGGGUGCCGAGAGGAACUUUAUGACAGGUGCUGCAUGGCUGUCGUCAGCUCGUGUUGUGAGAUGUUGGGUUAAGUCCCGUAACGAGCGCAACCCUUGCCUCUAGUUACCAUCGAGUGAAGUUGGGGACUCUAGAGGGACUGCCGGUGACAAACCGGAGGAAGGCGGGGACGACGUCAAGUCAUCAUGGCCCUUACGGGUAGGGCGACACACGUGCUACAAUGGUUCGUACAAAGGGUCGCGAAGGGGUGACCUGGAGCCAAUCCUAGAAAGCGGAUCGUAGUCCGGAUUGGAGUCUGCAACUCGACUCCAUGAAGCUGGAAUCGCUAGUAAUCGCAAAUCAGCAUGUUGCGGUGAAUACGUUCCCGGGCCUUGUACACACCGCUCGUC
rnacentral:rRNA from 1 species